rnacentral:rRNA from 1 species
GACGAACGCUGGCGGCGUGCUUAACACAUGCAAGUCGAACGGAAAGGCCCUGCUUUUGUGGGGUGCUCGAGUGGCGAACGGGUGAGUAACACGUGAGUAACCUGCCCUUGACUUUGGGAUAACUUCUGGAAACUGGGGCUAAUACCGGAUAGGAGCUCCUGCUGCAUGGUGGGGGUUGGAAAGGUUCGGCGGUUGGGGAUGGGCUCGCGGCUUAUCAGCUUGUUGGUGGGGUAGUGGCUUACCAAGGCGUUGACGGGUAGCCGGCCUGAGAGGGUGACCGGCCACAUUGGGACUGAGACACGGCCCAGACUCCUACGGGAGGCAGCAGUGGGGAAUAUUGCACAAUGGGCGGAAGCCUGAUGCAGCAACGCCGCGUGCGGGAUGACGGCCUUCGGGUUGUAAACCGCUUUCGCCUGUGAAGAAGCGAGAGUGACGGUAAUGGGUAAAGAAGCACCGGCUAACUACGUG